rnacentral:rRNA from 2 species
GGGGAUAACACCUGGAAACAGAUGCUAAUACCGCAUAACAACUUGGACCGCAUGGUCCGAGUUUGAAAGAUGGCUUCGGCUAUCACUUUUGGAUGGUCCCGCGGCGUAUUAGCUAGAUGGUGGGGUAACGGCUCACCAUGGCAAUGAUACGUAGCCGACCUGAGAGGGUAAUCGGCCACAUUGGGACUGAGACACGGCCCAAACUCCUACGGGAGGCAGCAGUAGGGAAUCUUCCACAAUGGACGAAAGUCUGAUGGAGCAACGCCGCGUGAGUGAAGAAGGGUUUCGGCUCGUAAAACUCUGUUGUUAAAGAAGAACAUAUCUGAGAGUAACUGUUCAGGUAUUGACGGUAUUUAACCAGAAAGCCACGGCUAACUACGUGCCAGCAGCCGCGGUAAUACGUAGGUGGCAAGCGUUGUCCGGAUUUAUUGGGCGUAAAGCGAGCGCAGGCGGUUUUUUAAGUCUGAUGUGAAAGCCUUCGGCUCAACCGAAGAAGUGCAUCGGAAACUGGGAAACUUGAGUGCAGAAGAGGACAGUGGAACUCCAUGUGUAGCGGUGAAAUGCGUAGAUAUAUGGAAGAACACCAGUGGCGAAGGCGGCUGUCUGGUCUGUAACUGACGCUGAGGCUCGAAAGUAUGGGUAGCAAACAGGAUUAGAUACCCUGGUAGUCCAUACCGUAAACGAUGAAUGCUAAGUGUUGGAGGGUUUCCGCCCUUCAGUGCUGCAGCUAACGCAUUAAGCAUUCCGCCUGGGGAGUACGGCCGCAAGGCUGAAACUCAAAGGAAUUGACGGGGGCCCGCACAAGCGGUGGAGCAUGUGGUUUAAUUCGAAGCUACGCGAAGAACCUUACCAGGUCUUGACAUACUAUGCAAAUCUAAGAGAUUAGACGUUCCCUUCGGGGACAUGGAUACAGGUGGUGCAUGGUUGUCGUCAGCUCGUGUCGUGAGAUGUUGGGUUAAGUCCCGCAACGAGCGCAACCCUUAUUAUCAGUUGCCAGCAUUAAGUUGGGCACUCUGGUGAGACUGCCGGUGACAAACCGGAGGAAGGUGGGGAUGACGUCAAAUCAUCAUGCCCCUUAUGACCUGGGCUACACACGUGCUACAAUGGAUGGUACAACGAGUUGCGAACUCGCGAGAGUAAGCUAAUCUCUUAAAGCCAUUCUCAGUUCGGAUUGUAGGCUGCAACUCGCCUACAUGAAGUCGGAAUCGCUAGUAAUCGCGGAUCAGCAUGCCGCGGUGAAUACGUUCCCGGGCCUUGUACACACCGCCCGUCACACCAUGAGAGUUUGUAACACCCAAAGUCGGUGGGGUAACCUUUUAGGAACCAG